rnacentral:rRNA from 1 species
CGUAGGGUGCGAGCGUUAAUCGGAAUUACUGGGCGUAAAGCGUGCGCAGGCGGUUUUGUAAGACAGGCGUGAAAUCCCCGGGCUCAACCUGGGAACUGCGCUUGUGACUGCAAGGCUAGAGUACGGCAGAGGGGGGUGGAAUUCCACGUGUAGCAGUGAAAUGCGUAGAGAUGUGGAGGAACACCAAUGGCGAAGGCAGCCCCCUGGGUCGAUACUGACGCUCAUGCACGAAAGCGUGGGUAGCAAACAGGAUUAGAUACCCUGGUAGUCCACGCCCUAAACGAUGUCAACUAGGUGUUGGGUGGGUAAAACCAUUUAGUACCGGAGCUAACGCGUGAAGUUAACCGCCUGGGGAGUACGGCCGCAAGGUUA